rnacentral:rRNA from 1 species
AAUAGAUACCCUGGUAGUCCACGCCGUAAACGAUGAGUGCUAAGUGUUAGAGGGUUUCCGCCCUUUAGUGCUGCAGCUAACGCAUUAAGCACUCCGCCUGGGGAGUACGGUCGCAAGACUGAAACUCAAAGGAAUUGACGGGGGCCCGCACAAGCGGUGGAACAUGUGGUUUAAUUCGAAGCAACGCGAAGAACCUUACCAGGUCUUGACAUCCCACUGACCGGUAUAGAGAUAUACCUUUCCCUUCGGGGACAGUGGCGACAGGUGGUGCAUGGUUGUCGUCAGCUCGUGUCGUGAGAUGUUGGGUUAAGUCCCGCAACGAGCGCAACCCUUGAUCUUAGUUGCCAGCAUUUAGUUGGGCACUCUAAGGUGACUGCCGGUGACAAACCGGAGGAAGGUGGGGAUGACGUCAAAUCAUCAUGCCCCUUAUGACCUGGGCUACACACGUGCUACAAUGGAUGGUACAAAGGGCUGCAAGACUGCGAAGUCAAGCCAAUCCCAUAAAAACCAUUCUCAGUUCGGAUUGCAGG